AUUGAACGCUGGCGGCAGGCCUAACACAUGCAAGUCGAGCGGAUGAAGGGAGCUUGCUCCUGGAUUCAGCGGCGGCCGGGUGAGUAAUGCCUAGGAAUCUGCCUGGUAGUGGGGGAUAACGUCCGGAAACGGGCGCUAAUACCGCAUACGUCCUGAGGGGGACAGUGGGGGAUCUUCGGACCUCACGCUAUCAGAUGAGCCUAGGUCGGAUUAGCUAGUUGGUGGGGUAAAGGCCUACCAAGGCGACGAUCCGUAACUGGUCUGAGAGGAUGAUCAGCCACACUGGAACUGAGACACGGUCCAGACUCCUACGGGAGGCAGCAGUGGGGAAUAUUGGACAAUGGACGAAAGCCUGAUCCAGCCAUGCCGCGUGUGUGAAGAAGGUCUUCGGAUUGUAAAGCACUUUAAGUUGGGAGGAAGGGCAGUAAGUUAAUACCUUGCUGUUUUGACGUUACCAACAGAAUAAGCACCGGCUAACUUCGUG
rnacentral:rRNA from 1 species